CUCCUCUCUCCAAGAACACCACCGCCUGGCAGGCUGCCAGGAACAGCCAAGCCCUGUGGACAUCACUCCCAGAAAUCCAACCACACGGAAAGCAAACGUGCUGUGUCUCAUGACAGUACUAACAAGCCUGGUAAAUCAGCCCACAGUUGCACAGCCGUAGCUGGGGAAUCCAAGUGCUUUCUGAGGACACACUGACGACAGCAGCAGACACACACGCGUACGCACAUCUUCACGGCACACAGACUCACUAAGGUAUGCCACGAGCCUACAGGUUUUCAAUACCAUACAGUGGAUAACAGUGGUGGUGGUGGGUCUCCGCCCUCAGGAAGCACUUGACCUUAUCUGACAAACAAAAGGAACAUCAGGGAAAAACUCUGCAUGGAUUGAAUGCCUCCCAGUGUGGCAGGAACUAAGAGCCACAUGGAUCUCUGAGCUUCGGCUGACAUGCCCAGGAAGGUGGCCCUGGAAAGGUAGUAACGACCUGUCCAGUCUCCACAUCUCCAGGGAGUCUCCAGGUGUCUGUCCAUUGCUCAGCUCCACUUGAGGGGUGAGUUAAACUCUUAGGUCCUGGCUCUGUGGCCCAGGCUGGAGUGCAGAGGCUUGAUCUCGGCUCACUGCAACCUCUGCUUCCCAAGCUCAAGCCAUCCUCCUACCUCAGUCUCCCAAGUAGCUGGGACUACAGGUGCACACUACCACACUUGGCUAGUUUUUGUAUUUGCAUUUGUAGAGACAGCCAUGUUGCUCAGGCUGGUCUUGAACUGGUGAGCUCAAGUCAUCUGCCUGCCUCAGCCUCCUAAAGUACUGGGAUUACAGGUGUGAGCAUUUCGCCUGGCCUCAGUGGUUCUUGUUGGCAUUAGCUGAUGUGGUUCCUGUUCCCAGGUGCAGAGUGAAGCCAGCCUCACCACCCCAGACAGCAGCAGGAACCAGGAUUCCAGGCCCUAGCCAUACCACUGGGAGGCCCAAACAAGUUAACAUAGGAACAGCCCUGCUUAAGAGGUGUGCGCCACACUUCGAGUAAACCAACCCCAUCAGCCUCUUCUCAUGGGAAAGCUGGGGUGCUGGUGAACACGAAGACAGGGGCUACCUCAGCUGGGUGUAUCCCAGGGAAACAGACGCCUUUUUCUGCUGCUCCAUGACGCAGGCCGACAGCUCAGUCUAAAAUUUUGAGGACUCAGGGAAACUGCUGGGGUGAAGAGAUGACAGCUCACCCUCAAGGUGGCCUGGCACUUGCCCUCUCUCAAUGGCGGAAGGUUAUUUCUUCUCCAGGGCUCCUUAAAGACAGCAGGCCUGAGCCCAAGGGGAAGGACAUCUGGGGAAGGGGAAAGCCUGGAAGGAUGGCGGCCAGGAAAGGGCAGAGGAAUGGCCUCUCCCAUCCAAAGCUGGCUUGUUUUAUCUCCACGAGCAUUCGCUCCAGAUGCUUCUAAAUGUGCAGUGAGUUUUUGAUCCAGACUGAACCCUGGCCAGGUAGAUGGAAUCCAAAAAAUUCUUGGGCCAUGCCUGAGAAAGGAUGCCACAACCCUGCCCCUACUGGGGCCAGACCCAAAGUGAGUAAGGCAGAUUCUCCUGUUUCACAGUCACCAAGAGAAUGUGUCUUGAAUGGCAGCACCAACACCAUUUCAUUCACUUUGUAGCAUUUGCUGUGCUCAGUACCCCAGAUCCCUCUUUGGGAAACAAAGAAACACAACUCAGAGAGGUUAUCUGCUGGGCCCAAGGUCACAGCUGACUGAGGACCGGAAGGCGAGCUGCCUACUUGAUCCUUGGCCCUGGACUCUUCUCAGAUUACACUUAUCUUAAAGGGAAGGGGAUUACUUUCUGUUCCUUCAAGGCAGCUGCCUGGCAUCCUGCCUGCACCCCUGGCCACAGCUCAGGGUCAUUUGUGCUGAAUGAGGCCUCCUGAUACCUCUCCAGCAAGUGACAAGCUGGAGAGACGCCCUCCAAAUCUUAGAUGCUGAAGAGGGGCAUUCAGAAGAAGUGGCACCAGCAGCCACAAUCCUUCAGCCCACCGUGAACUGCCACACAUGCACCCGGGUCAGGUCCCUGUUUCCAGAUCCCCAGCCUGGAGCAAGUCACAGCAGGGAGAAGGGUGGUAUUGGACUGGAGCAGAGAUUCUGAGCUUGGAGUCUGUAGCUGGGUUUCAGGGGCUUUGUGAACCCUCCGAAAUUGCCUGUGAGAUUGCGUGAGUCAGUGCAUUUGCCUGGGAAGAUUGUGUGUAGCUUUUUCAGAGCCUCAAAAAGAUCAAGGACUCAAAGAGGCUAAGAAGCACAGGAACAAAGGCUCCCGAGUCCCCACCAGCCAUAUGGCUCUGGGCAUACACAAAUCCAGCAGCCAAACCCAAGUUAUCAAAUGCAGGAGAACAUGCUGUGUGAAUGGAGGUGAGGGCUACUGUCCUCGCUGCUGCCCCUCCCUGGUUCUGUGCCUGCUCAUUGACUCCCACCCCAGAGGCCUGCAUGACAUUCCUGCAGAACAGGGUGCCCCACGCUUUGCAGACCCCUGUCUUUACUGGCUGUCUUGCUGAGGAAGAGGUUCUUGCUGGUCUGACCCCUGUGAGGCUUGUGUGUUCUCAAGGCUCUCACUAGCUGCUCAUUCCCUUUCUGAACAUCACCACCACCAGACUAGAGAAGGAAACUGGAAUGGAAAGGAAAAUGCAAUUUUGGAGAAAGAGCCACUUCAGUGCACAGCACAAAUCCAGCUGGACAUUCCUCCAAAUGGCCUCAGGGUCCUAGAAAGCCACCUCUCUGUCAUAGGCAAGUGAACACUCCUGUGCUCCACUCCCACACUGCUCAAGGCCCAUGACCACUUUCGGGAGGGGUCCUGCUCCAUCCGUUCCAGGCCACACAGGGCAGCUCCAGGCCCACGGCCCUUGCAUCCCCAGCCAGGGGUUAAGGGAGCCCAACAGGAGCCCAGAAGCCCAGAGCCUGAGGACCUGCUGCUUUCACAGAAAAGGGGGAAGUCUGAUAAGC
rnacentral:lncRNA from 10 species